rnacentral:rRNA from 1 species
AGAGUUUGAUCCUGGCUCAGGAUGAACGCUAGCGACAGGCCUAACACAUGCAAGUCGAGGGGCAGCGGGGAGGUAGCAAUACCUUUGCCGGCGACCGGCGCACGGGUGAGUAACACGUAUGCAAUCCACCUGUAACAGGGGGAUAACCCGGAGAAAUCCGGACUAAUACCCCAUGAUAUGGGUUCUCCGCAUGGAGGGUCCAUUAAAGAGAGCAAUCUUGGUUACAGACGAGCAUGCGCUCCAUUAGCCAGUUGGCGGGGUAACGGCCCACCAAGGCGACGAUGGAUAGGGGUUCUGAGAGGAAGGUCCCCCACAUUGGAACUGAGACACGGUCCAAACUCCUACGGGAGGCAGCAGUGAGGAAUAUUGGUCAAUGGUCGGCAGACUGAACCAGCCAAGUCGCGUGAGGGAAGACGGCCCUACGGGUUGUAAACCUCUUUUGUCGGAGAGUAAAGUGCGCUACGCGUAGCGUAUUGCAAGUAUCCGAAGAAAAAGCAUCGGCUAACUCCGUGCCAGCAGCCGCGGUAAUACGGAGGAUGCGAGCGUUAUCCGGAUUUAUUGGGUUUAAAGGGUGCGUAGGCGGCACGCCAAGUCAGCGGUGAAAUUUCCGGGCUCAACCCGGACUGUGCCGUUGAAACUGGCGAGCUAGAGUGCACAAGAGGCAGGCGGAAUGCGUGGUGUAGCGGUGAAAUGCAUAGAUAUCACGCAGAACCCCGAUUGCGAAGGCAGCCUGCUAGGGUGCGACAGACGCUGAGGCACGAAAGCGUGGGUAUCGAACAGGAUUAGAUACCCUGGUAGUCCACGCAGUAAACGAUGAAUACUAACUGUUUGCGAUACAAUGUAAGCGGUACAGCGAAAGCGUUAAGUAUUCCACCUGGGGAGUACGCCGGCAACGGUGAAACUCAAAGGAAUUGACGGGGGCCCGCACAAGCGGAGGAACAUGUGGUUUAAUUCGAUGAUACGCGAGGAACCUUACCCGGGCUCAAACGCAGGGGGAAUGCCGGUGAAAGCCGGCAGCUAGCAAUAGUCACCUGCGAGGUGCUGCAUGGUUGUCGUCAGCUCGUGCCGUGAGGUGUCGGCUUAAGUGCCAU